rnacentral:lncRNA from 1 species
AUAAAUGUUACUAACAUGCAGGUAAAAUUUAUAUAUGUGUAUAAAUCUUUUCAUUUUAACCUUAUCAUUUCAUUUAAAUAUAAAUUUUUAAUUUAUUUAUUUAGCCGUUCAUUAACAAGUCCUGUGCUUUAUAAUAUAUUAAAAAAUGGAAGGACGUGAAGAAAACAGGUUUGUAAAUGAUGUUGUACAUCAUGCAGAUAGCUCAGAAGAAGAAGCAGGAAUGUUUGACUGGAAAUAUAAACGAUGUUGUACAUAAUGCAGAUAGCUUAGGCAAAAAAGAGAUUGGUGAAAUGGAGAAUGAGACUAACUAGGGU